UACGGGGGGGGCAAGCGUUGUUCGGAAUUACUGGGCGUAAAGGGCUCGUAGGCGGCCAACUAAGUCCGACGUGAAAUCCCAAGGCUUAACCUUGGAACUGCGUCGGAUACUGGAUGGCUUGAAUUCGGGAGAGGGAUGCAAAAUUCCAGGCGUAGCGGUGAAAUGCGUAGAUAUCUGGAGGAAUACCGGUGGCGAAGGCGGCAUCCUGGACCGACAUUGACGCUGAUGAGCGAAAGCUAGGGGAGCAAACGGG
rnacentral:rRNA from 1 species